rnacentral:rRNA from 1 species
GACAGAGGGUGCAAACGUUGUUCGGAAUUACUGGGCGUAAAGCGCACGUAGGCGGCUUUGUAAGUUAGAGGUGAAAGCCCGGGGCUCAACUCCGGAAUUGCCUUUAAGACUGCAUCGCUAGAAUUGUGGAGAGGUAAGUGGAAUUCCGAGUGUAGAGGUGAAAUUCGUAGAUAUUCGGAAGAACACCAGUGGCGAAGGCGACUUACUGGACACAUAUUGACGCUGAGGUGCGAAGCGUGGGAGCAAACAGGG